rnacentral:rRNA from 1 species
GAUGAACGCUAGCGGCAGGCCUAACACAUGCAAGUCGAACGGUAACAGAUCUAGCUUGCUAGAUGCUGACGAGUGGCGCACGGGUGCGUAACGCGUAUGCAACUUACCCCUAACUAGAGAAUAGCCUUUCGAAAGGAAGAAUAAUACUCCAUAAUAUUUCGCUGUGGCAUCACAGCGUUCUUAAAAGCUUCGGCGGUUAGGGAUGGGCAUGCGUCCUAUUAGUUUGUUGGUGAGUAACGGCUCACCAAGACUACGAUAGGUAGGGGGCCUGAGAGGGUUAUCCCCCANACUGGUACUGAGACACGGACCAGACUCCUACGGGAGGCAGCAGUGAGGAAUAUU